GUGAAGAUAAGGGGAGAGACUACGAUGUAGCGCCGAAGGAGCAAACUUAGCAGUGAAUCUCUCAGGCAAAAGAACUCUUAUUGGACG
rnacentral:ncRNA from 2 species